GGAUGAAUAUUGCGCAAUGGGGGCAACCCUGACGCAGCAACGCCGCGUGGAUGAUGAAGGCCUUCGGGUUGUAAAAUCCUUUUCUGGGGGACGAUUGUGACGGUACCUCAGGAAUAAGUCCCGGCUAACUACGUGCCAGCAGCCACGGUAAAACGUAGGGGGCAAGCGUUAUCCGGAUUUAUUGGGCGUAAAGCGCACGUAGGCGGCGCUGUAAGUUGGGCGUGAAAGCUCUUGGCUUAACUGAGAGAGG
rnacentral:rRNA from 1 species